AGCAGCCGCGGUAAUUCCAGCUCCAAUAGCGUAUAUUAAAGUUGUUGCAGUUAAAAAGCUCGUAGUUGAAUUUCGGGAUCAAAUUGUCGGUCGUGCCUCGGUACGUACUGGUAUUAUUGGUUCCUACCUUCUGAAGAACCGCGAUGUCAUUAAUUUGGUGUCGUGGGGAAUCAGGACUGUUACUUUGAAAAAAUUAGAGUGUUUAAAGCAGGCUUACGCUUGAAUACAUUAGCAUGGAAUAAUGAAAUAGGACGUUUGAUUCUAUUUUGUUGGUUUCUAGGAUCGACGUAAUGAUUAAUAGGGAUAGUUGGGGGCAUUAGUAUUCAAUUGUCAGAGGUGAAAUUCUUGGAUUUAUUGAAGACUAGCUACUGCGAAAGCAUUUGCCAAGGAUGUUUUCAUUAAUCAAGAACGAAAGUUAGGGAUCGAAGACGAUCAGAUACCGUCGUAGUC
rnacentral:rRNA from 1 species